rnacentral:rRNA from 1 species
GACGAACGCUGGCGGCGUGCUUAACACAUGCAAGUCGAACGGAAAGGCCCCCACUUUUUUGGUGGGGGUGCUCGAGUGGCGAACGGGUGAGUAACACGUGGGUGAUCUGCCCUGUACUUCGGGAUAAGCUUGGGAAACUGGGUCUAAUACCGGAUAGGACCAUGGUUUAGUGUCUCAUGGUGGAAAAAUUAUUGUUUUGGUGCAGGAUGAGCUCGCGGCCUAUCAGCUUGUUGGUGGGGUAAUGGCCUACCAAGGCGUCGACGGGUAGCCGGCCUGAGAGGGUGGACGGCCACAGUGGGACUGAGAUACGGCCCAGACUCCUACGGGAGGUAGCAGUGGGGAAUAGUGCACAAUGGGCGCAAGCCUGAUGCAGCGACGCCGCGUGGGGGAUGACGGCCUUCGGGUUGUAAACUCCUUUCGUUAGGGACGAAGCCGCACCUUUUUUGGGUGUGGUGACGGUACCUUUGUUAAGAAGCACCGGCUAACUACGUG